CCCAGUGUGGUGUAGUGGCUUGAACCCUGGACUAUGACCCUGGCGAACAGGGUUCAAAUCCCUGCUCAGCCA